rnacentral:rRNA from 1 species
AUGCAGAGAGGAGGCUCAGCCGUGGCCAUAUGCAGAGAUAACCAGGGGGCAUUCUUGGGCAGUUCUACUCUCGUUAUAGCUGGAGUUUGGGACGCUCCAACGUUGGAAGCAAUUGCGUGCCGCGAAGCAGUGGCACUUGCUGAAGAUCUCAAUCAACAUAACUACAUCGUGGCAUCCGACUAUCCUCAGGUUGCAAUAGCCAUGGCCGGUGCAAAAGGAGUGCAGCAGCGCACCAUCUCGGGUGGUUCCCAGUCGCGGCCAUCACAGGACGGCUCCCGGUCGCCGGCUCCGAAGGAGCUGCGAGGGCGCAGCCGGUCCAGGCGCGACCAUCGCGGUGAGGUCGUGGUUAGGGAGAUCAUGCGCGAGACCGCAAUCAGCGGUAGCGUGCCCAUCACCUUCCCGAUGCUCACGCGCUCGAACUACAGCGAGUGCGCGUUGAUCAUGGAGUGCAACCUUCAUGCGGCGAGCCUCUGGGCUCCCAUGGAGGACGACCUGGUCGAAAGAAAGGAGGACAGGAAAGCCGUGGCGGCCCUCAUGUGUGCCACGCCGCCGGAGAUGCACGGCAUGCUCGCGGCGAAGGCAAGCGCCAAGGAGGCGUGGGAAGCCAUCCGUACCCAGCGCCUCGACAGCAACCGCGUGCGCGAGGCGAACGCACAAAAGCUGCGGGGGGACUUCGAGAACAUCGCCUUCAAGAAGGGCGAGCUCGUCGACGACUUCGCUAUGCGGAUUUCCAGCGUUGCGUCACAACUCCGAGAGCUCGGCGAAACCAUGGACGAUGCGAGAGUCGUGCGGAAAUUUCUCCGCGUCGUGCCACCUCGCUUCGCUCAGGUAGCGGUCUCCAUCGAGACCUUGCUUGGCCUGAGUGAGCUCUCCAUCGAGGAGCUCACGGGCCGGUUGCGGGUGGUCAAGGACCACCUUGACGACGGCCGCGAGAGCUUCGGCGGUGGACAACUCCUAUUCUCGAAGAAGUGGGAGGCGAGGAAGUGUCAAGGACGUGGUGGCGGUGCCCAGAGCAGUGGAGGCGGCACCGGCAGAGGCGGCGGUCGCACCCAGGGCGGAGCCGGACGAGGUGCCGACAACGACGACCGAGACAAGUGCCGAUAUUGCAGCAUCAAGGGCCACUGGGCCCGUGAGUGCCGCAAGAGGAUGGCUGACGAGGAUGCCGCAGCCGCGGCAAAUCUCGUGCAGGCUGAAGAGGACGGUGGGCCAGCAAUGAUGAUGGCUUGCGUCAAGACCAUCGCUCUCCCCGACAACAACGUUCUCGGGAGACUACGAUUGGGAGGAGAUGAAGACCGGGUGUGGGGGAGCCACACCCCGGCAACCACGUCCACUGGGACGCUGGUCAAGCCCGUGCAAGUUGGCACGGCAAUCGCGGCCCCGACAUCCUUGGGACCCGACAAGCCCGUGCAAGUUGGCACGGCAAAGGCGUCGCCGACAUCCUCGGGAUCCAACAAGCCCGUGUCAGAAGGCACGACAACGACGCAUAUGGUGGGCCACGUCCCAACCAUGAUGCUGGUGACCAGUGAGACCGUGCAAGAGGCACGGCACUCUCAGGUCGGCCACACCCCGACAACCAGGUUCUCGGGGUUCUACAAGCCCAUGUGGGCAACACGGCACUCUUCGACGGGCCUCAACAGCUGGGAGGCCAUGAAGAGACAGUCAUGGGGCGGCAAGGCCUCGACCAUGACUCUGGCGACCAUCGAGGCUGUGCAGGAGGCGCGGUGCUCUAUGGUCGGCCACGCCGCAGCCCCGACGCGCUCAGGGUCCAUCGAGUCCGUGCGGGAGGCACGACUCACAACUGUCGGGGGAGACCCGACAAGCAAGUCUGUUGGGAAGAGCGACAAGGAGUCAGCUACCAUGGGAGAAGCCACUCCAGGUAGUGGGGUGUCCGACAAGUCAUCCCCGGGAAGGGAGUUCCCGGGUAGCAUGAUGUCUGACACGGCGACCCCGGGAAGGGAGAUUCCCGGCAGUGUGACGUCAGGAACUACGACCCAGCAACAUUGA